AUACUUACCUGGCAGGGGAGAUACCAUGAUCAAGAACGAAGGUUGGUUCAACCAGGCGAGGCUAAACCCUGCAUCCGGUUUGCUGACCUCUGCGAAUUCCCCAAAUGUGGGAAAUCUCGACGCAUAAUUUGUUGGUGAGUGGGGGACUGCGUGCGCGCCUCUCCCCU